AAACAUAUGCUUUUAAUCUCCUUUGAGUCAUCAAAGAGUUUGAAACAACACUCCUGAGAGCCUGGGGACAGGAGCGAUGCUGUGCCACCAUGAAAUCUGACAUUUUGCUAAGGAGUUGAAAUUUUGGAUAAUCACCUCCAAAGGUAAGAAUGAGUAACAGUGGGAUGUUGAUGAAAGGAGCUUAGCCCAGUACAGACAUCCCAGACAUCCCUACAAGGGCCACCACAGAUGCACCUGGGAUCCAACCCUUACAGACCCACCAACAUCACCAUUUCUGGUGUCACCCAGCAUCAUCAACCCCACCUGGCUGCCAUGGCCAGGGCCAGCCCACAGCAGCCACAGGGCCCAUGGGAGCAGCCAGAGAGGAAGCACAGAUCCUGCAGGGGGUGAGCACAACAGAUGUCUCAGCUUCUCAUUCUGAUGGUCUUCAGCUCAUCUUGCCGCUGGCUUGGAGUGCCCACGUGCAGGAGAACCAUCCUCAUCCUCCUCCAGCUUUCUCCCUGGUCAUGGAAUACACACACUUCCAGCUGAAGGAAGCCCAAGCUAAAAUAACAUGUGGGAGAGAGAUGCACUCAGAAAAGACAGACUUUAGUUUUAUUCCUCUGCUCACACUGCAAAAUACAGCAUCCAACAAAUCUGCAAGCAAAUCUGGAUUUGUGACUUAUGUAGGCCAUUAAUAUUUAAUGCAAGCAGCAUCUCCUCUUCUGCAGCCAUUCUGAAAAUUGCCAAAAUACAGAGAGAGAAAGCAGCCAGGCAUUGCCAUGGAGUUUUUCCCAAGAUCACCUUGUACUGCCGCAAUAAAUUCCUAUGGAAUCUUCUGGAGAUCA
rnacentral:lncRNA from 1 species